rnacentral:pre_miRNA from 1 species
AGCUUUUCGAAUCCGUGCUGAGAUUUCGUCAGACGCUAACCGAUUAGGGCUGAUCGGAUUUCCAAGAUAAGUGAGGCU